AUACAACGUACAGUAUCACACAAAAAGAGAUGAUACGGCAAGUCAAAAAAUAAAUAAACUGUUUGAACAUACGAAUAGUGGGUACGGUUUCUCUCUACAAAUCAAAUUCGUUCUUGAUAAUCCUCUUCGUCUAAUCCGAUUGAAGAUUUGUUAGUACCAAAAAAUAGUUUAAUCUGACAAUGACUAUGCGAUUUCAAGAGGAAUCCAGGUUUAAUUUUCGGUGUUCAUCAUCGAUAAUUUCGAUUCAUUGCAAGUAUCAGCCAUUCAUAGAUUAAAAUUAGGUAUUCUUCUUCAUCACUAUUCUUGCAGCCGGUGUUGCCAUUUUAGUGACUUUACACUCCAAAUCCGUCGACUUUACACUCCAUUUAGUAACAAAUUCUCCGUACCAUAACAAAUCGGAGCGCCGGACCUUAUCAAUUUGGAAUGCCGUACCGAUUCAACUCGGAUCGCCGGACCAUGAUGUUCCAGAUCGAUUACGAUUUGCGAUUGGGUACACCGCGAUCCAAUACGUGGAUCGUGAUAACCCUAGCGAUUUAGGUAACUAUGCGUUAUAUUUUCCAACAUAUCAUAUGGGAAAAAUGGAGGCGUUUCUAUAUUUUCAUGUAACAGUUUAUGUUUAGUUGCUCUGUAUGUUUGUUUUUUUUCUCCUAGCGGUUGUAUUGAUUGUACUGUGCCCGACUCAUUGUCAUCCCUAUUUGUACCCAGCUCCUCGCUUGGCCGUUUUAUUGAGAAAGUUUAUGUUGGUCUUUAAAAAAACACUAGGCCCAUCCUA